AGUGCCGAGACACGAAUAACAAGUUAUGAUUAUUUUUAAAGAGACCACAAGGCGUCGUGGAUAUUUUUUCGCGCAAUGAUCACUUUCGUUCUUUGAACCUAACAUAUAUACAUAUCUUAUUGUAUAUAUCGCAAAAUAAUCAUAAUAUGGACAUUAGCUUAUUAAGAUGUGGUCAAACAAGCGAUAUGUAAAUACCGGAUAUAUUGAGCUCCAGAUACAGCUCGGUCGGUUCGGACAUCGGUAAGGUGCUAGUUAAUGCUCCACAGCGGAUGAAUUUUCACAUACUAAGAUUGCCAGAAUUUUCUGUGUUUAAAGUCAUAUAAUGACCAUGUCUCAGUCAAGAUGUCAGGGCCCCGCUCCAAAUUCCUGCUGUGGCUACCUGUCUUCGCUCAGUACAUAAAAACGGAGAGGCAAUCGCCCGUCACGUAAAUCUUAGCAAGUACAACAGAAUCGGUGAUCAGAGUUCGAUGCCUGGACUUUGCACGCUUUGCACGCGCUGUCAACGGAUCAAGGUGCAAUGUAGCAGCGAGCAGUAUUGUUUGCCAUUUACUUUAUGUUGUAAUUACUGAUAAUCGAUUUUUAAUAAAUUAGUUCUAUAUAUUUUAAUGUUCUUUGAACUUGUGUUUGUAAAUUCGAAAUAUUUGUUUAGCGUUUG